CAUCCUCCAAGGCUAAAUACUCCUGACUGACCGAUAGUGAACCAGUACCGUGAGGGAAAGGCGAAAAGAACCCCGGCGAGGGGAGUGAAAAAGAACCUGAAACCGUGUACGUACAAGCAGUGGGAGCCCCACCACUAAGCCAGUGGUGAACUCCACAUACGCAUCCUUUGCUGAGGAUACGGUUAACGGAGCGAAAGCGACGUUCAACCGCAAAAGAAGCAGAGGGGGCUUAGUGGUGGGGUGACUGCGUACCUUUUGUAUAAUGGGUCAGCGACUUAUAUUCUGUAGCAAGGUUAACCGAAUAGGGGAGCCGGAGGGAAACCGAGUCUUAACCGGGCGUUAAGUUGCAGGGUAUAGACCCGAAACCCGGUGAUCUAGCCAUGGGCAGGUUGAAGGUUGGGUAACACUAACUGGAGGACCGAACCGAC
rnacentral:rRNA from 1 species